rnacentral:rRNA from 1 species
CAAGGUACUAAGGGCACGCGGUGGAUGCCUUGGCGGCGGGAGGCGAUGAAGGGCGUGGCAAGCUGCGAUAAGCCCGGGGGAGCCGCAAGCAGGCGUUGAUCCCGGGAUUCCCGAAUGGGGAAACCUGGGUGGCCGUUGAGGCCACUCGCCGCCGAAAGGCGGUGCGACACCGGGGGAAGUGAAACAUCUCAGUACCCCGAGGAAAAGAAAUCAACCGAGAUUCCCCUAGUAGCGGCGAGCGAACGGGGAGGAGCCCAAACCAGCGUGGUGCCAAAGCCCGUGGGCGUUGCCACGCUGGGGUUGCGGGACACGACCGGGCGAGGCCACGGACUCGCCGGGGAGUUACAAAUCCCUCCUCUAGCCGAACCACCUGGGAAGGUGGGCCGGAGAGGGUGACAGCCCCGUAGGCGAAAGGGGAGGGACUCCCUGGGUCGUGUUCCCGAGUACCACGGGACACGUGGAAUCCCGUGGGAAGCUGGGGGGACCACCCUCCAAGGCUAAAUACUACCCGCCGCCCGAUAGUGCACCAGUACCGUGAGGGAAAGGUGAAAAGCACCCCGGAAGGGGAGUGAAAGAGGACCUGAAACCGCGUGCCUACAAGAAGUCGGAGCCCCCAUUUGGGGGUGACGGCGUGCCUUUUGAUUAAUGAGCCCGCGAGUUGCCGUCGGUGGCGAGGUUAAGCCGAUUGAGGCGUAGCCGUAGCGAAAGCGAGUCCGAACAGGGCGUCUAGUCACCGGCGGCAGACCCGAAGCCGGGUGAGCUACCCCUGGGCAGGGUGAAGGUGGGUUAAAACCCACUGGAGGCCCGAACCGGUGGACAGUGAAAAGUCCUCGGAUGACCUGGGGGUAGGAGUGAAAAGCUAACCGAACCCGGUGAUAGCUGGUUCUCCCCGAAAUGCAUUGAGGUGCAGCCUCGGGUGGUCUGUGCAGGGGGUAGAGCACUGAUGGGGCUAGGGGGGUUUCCUCCGAACCCCGUCAAACUCCGAAUCCCUGCACACAAAGCCCGGGAGUGAGCCCGCGGGGGAUAAGCUCCGCGGACGAGAGGGGAACAACCCAGACCGCCGGCUAAGGGCCCGAAGAGGUGGCUAAGUGGUAAAGGAUGUGGGGCGCCUAAGACAGCUGGGAUGUUGGCUUAGAAGCAGCCAUCAUUUAAAGAGUGCGUAACAGCUCACCAGCCGAGGCGCCCUGCACCGAAAAUGUAACGGGGCUCAAGCCACCCCCCGAAGCCGCGGGUCAGUACCUCCGCUGGAGGUACUGGCGGUAGGGGAGCGUUCCGCUGUAGGGUGAAGGCGGACCCGCGAGGGCCGCUGGACGAGGCGGAAGUGAGAAUGCGGGCAUGAGUACGCGAGAGGAGGGUGAGAAUCCCUCCCCCCGUAAGCCCAAGGGUACCUGGGGAAGGGUCGUCCGCCCAGGGUUAGCCGGGACCCUAAGGUGAACCCGAAAGGGGUAGCCGAAGGGAAGCCGGUUAAUAUUCCGGCGCCACCUGCGGUCGAUGGUACGAGGGGUGACGCAGGAGGGUAGGCGCCGGGGGCAAGUGGCAUGCCCCUCCAAGCGGUUAGGGCGAUGACGGGCGUAGGUAAAUCCGCGCCCCGAGCCUGAGCCGUGAUGGGGAGGUCCCUUCGGGGACCAACGGCGCCGACCCCACACUGCCGAGAAAAACCUCGCGUACCGCUUGAGACCGUAGGUGCCCGUUCCGCAAACCGACACAGGUGGGCGGGCUGAGAAGGCUCAGGGGAGCGGGUUAACCCUCGCCAAGGAACUCGGCAAAUUGGCCCCGUAACUUCGGGAGAAGGGGUGCCGCGUUAGGGUGAACCCGGGGGAAGGGGCAACCCGGAAACCGGGGGAGCCCGAGGCGGUCGCAGUGACAAGGCCCUGGCGACUGUUUACCAAAAACACAGGUCUCUGCUAACUCGAAAAGAGGAAGUAUAGGGACUGACGCCUGCCCAGUGCCGGAAGGUUAAGGGGAGGGGUGAGGCUCCCCUUGUGGGAGCGUAGCUCCGACCCGAAGCCCCGGUAAACGGCGGCCGUAACUAUAACGGUCCUAAGGUAGCGUUCGCUGCCUGGGGAUAAGGGUGAGCGAAAUUCCUUGUCGGGUAAGUUCCGACCUGCAUGAAUGGCGUAACGACUGGGGCACUGUCUCGGCGGGGGGCCCGGCGAAAUUUCAGUCUGGGUGAAGAUGCCCAGUACCCGCGGCUAGACGGAAAGACCCCGUGGAGCUUUACUGCAGCCUGGUAUUGGGCUCUGGUGCAUCGUGUAUAGAAUAGGUGGGAGGCUGUGAAGCCGCCUCGCCAGGGGCGGUGGAGCCGCCAGUGGAAUACCACCCUCGGUGCACUGGAGUCCUAACCUGACCCUGUGAAGAGCAGGGUGGGGACAGUGCCAGGUGGGCAGUUUGACUGGGGCGGUCACCUCCUAAAGAGUAACGGAGGUGCGCAAAGGUCGGCUCAGGUGGGUUGGAAAUCCACCGUAGAGUGCAAGGGCAUAAGCCGGCCUGACUGCGAGGCCGACAGGCCGAGCAGGGGGGAAACCCGGCCCUAGUGACCCGGCGGCCCCGUGUGGAAGGGCCGUCGAUCAACGGAUAAAAGUUACCCCGGGGAUAACAGGCUGGUCCCGCCCGAGAGUUCACAUCGACGGCGGGGUUCGGCACCUCGAUGUCGGCUCAUCCCAUCCUGGGGCUGAAGCAGGUCCCAAGGGUUGGGCUGUUCGCCCAUUAAAGGGGUACGUGAGCUGGGUUCAGACCGUCGUGAGACAGGUCGGUCCCUAUCUGCCGCGGGCGUAGGAGGCUUGAGGGGGGUCCUCCCUUGUACGAGAGGACCGGGAGGAGGGGGCCUCUGGUGUACCGGCUGUCGCGCCAGCGGCAUACGCCGGGUAGCUAUGCCCCUAAGCGAUAACCGCUGAAAGCAUCUAAGCGGGAAGCGCGCCCCAAGAUUAGGCCUCCCAUCCCGUUAAGGGAGUAAGGCCGGUCCGAGAAGAGGACCUUGAUAGGCCGGGGGUGUAAGCGCCGCAAGGCGUUGAGCCCACCGGUACUAAUCGGCCGAGGCCUUGA